rnacentral:rRNA from 1 species
UAGGGAAUCUUCCACAAUGGACGCAAGUCUGAUGGAGCAACGCCGCGUGAGUGAAGAAGGUUUUCGGACCGUAAAGCUCUGUUGUUGGUGAAGAAGGAUAGAGGUAGUAACUGGCCUUUAUUUGACGGUAAUCAACCAGAAAGUCACGGCUAACUACGUGCCAGCAGCCGCGGUAAUACGUAGGUGGCAAGCGUUGUCCGGAUUUAUUGGGCGUAAAGCGAGCGCAGGCGGAAGAAUAAGUCUGAUGUGAAAGCCCUCGGCUUAACCGAGGAAUUGCAUCGGAAACUGUUUUCUUGAGUGCAGAAGAGGAGAGUAGAACUCCAUGUGUAGCGGUGGAAUGCGUAGAUAUAUGGAAGAACACCAGUGGCGAAGGCGGCUCUCUGGUCUGCAACUGACGCUGAGGCUCGAAAGCAUGGGUAGCGAACAGGAUUAGAUACCCUGGUAGUCCAUGCCGUAAAACGAUGAGUGCUAAGUGUUGGGAGGCUUCCGCCUCUCAGUGCUGCAGCUAACGCAUUAAGCACUCCGCCUGGGGAGUACGACCGCAAGGUUGAA